UAGAGUUAUACAACUCCCAACCCCUGUGAACAUACCUACGUUGCCUCGGCAGGCAGGCGUCCCGCGCACGCCUGCCGACGGCCUACCCAACUCUGUUUUUAUAUUGAAUCUCUGAAUAGUAACCAAAUACGUUA
rnacentral:misc_RNA from 1 species